UACAACAUCAGCCUCCGGUUCAUCCGGGUCA
rnacentral:sRNA from 1 species